rnacentral:rRNA from 1 species
CUACGGGGGGCUGCAGUGGGGAAUAUUGGACAAUGGACCAAAAGUCUGAUCCAGCAAUUCUGUGUGCACGAUGAAGGUUUUCGGAUCGUAAAGUGCUUUCAACAGGGAAGAAGUUCUGACGGUACCUGUAGAAGAAGCGACGGCUAAAUACGUGCCAGCAGCCGCGGUAAUACGUAUGUCGCAAGCGUUAUCCGGAUUUAUUGGGCAUAAAGGGCAUCUAGGCGGCUUAGUAAGUCUGAUGUGAAAAUGCGGGGCUCAACCCCGUAUUGCGUUGGAAACUACUUAGCUAGAGUAUUGGAGAGGUAGGCGGAACUACAUGUGUAGAGGUGAAAUUCGUAGAUAUAUGUAGGAAUGCCGAUGACGAAGGUAGCUUACUGGACAAUUACUGACGCUGAAGUGCGAAAGCUAGGGGAGCGAACAGGAUUAGAUACCCGCGUAGUC